rnacentral:rRNA from 1 species
AUUGAACGCUGGCGGCAUGCCUUACACAUGCAAGUCGAACGGCAGCACGGGAGCUUGCUCCUGGUGGCGAGUGGCGAACGGGUGAGUAAUACAUCGGAACAUACCCAGUAGUGGGGGAUAACGCACCGAAAGGUGCGCUAAUACCGCAUACGACCUAAGGGUGAAAGCGGGGGACCGUAAGGCCUCGCGCUAUUGGAGCGGCCGAUGUCUGAUUAGCUAGUUGGCGGGGUAAAGGCCCACCAAGGCGACGAUCAGUAGCUGGUCUGAGAGGACGAUCAGCCACACUGGGACUGAGACACGGCCCAGACUCCUACGGGAGGCAGCAGUGGGGAAUUUUGGACAAUGGGGGCAACCCUGAUCCAGCAAUGCCGCGUGUGCGAAGAAGGCCUUCGGGUUGUAAAGCACUUUUGUCAGGGAAGAAAUCUUUUGGGCUAAUACCCCGGAAGUAUGACGGUACCUGAAGAAUAAGCACCGGCUAACUACGUGCCAGCCGCCGCAGUAA